rnacentral:rRNA from 1 species
GACGAACGCUGGCGGCGUGCUUAACACAUGCAAGUCGAACGGUGAAGCGCCUUCCUUUUUGGUGGGUGUGGAUGAGUGGCGAACGGGUGAGUAACACGUGAGUAACCUGCCCCCUUCUUCUGGAUAACCGCAUGAAAGUGUGGCUAAUACGGGAUAUUCUGGGUCUGUCGCAUGAUGGGUCUGGGAAAGAUAUUGUUUCGGUGGGGGAUGGGCUCGCGGCCUAUCAGCUUGUUGGUGGGGUGAUGGCCUACCAAGGCGGUGACGGGUAGCCGGCCUGAGAGGGUGGACGGUCACACUGGGACUGAGACACGGCCCAGACUCCUACGAGAGGCAGCAGUGGGGAAUAUUGCACAAUGGGCGCAAGCCUGAUGCAGCGACGCCGCGUGAGGGAUGGAGGCCUUCGGGUUGUGAACCUCUUUCGCCAGUGAAGCAGGCCUGCCUAGUUUGUGGGUGGGUUGACGGUAGCUGGAUAAGAAGCGCCGGCUAACUACGUG